rnacentral:rRNA from 1 species
UACGUAGGGUGCAAGCGUUGUCCGGAUUUAUUGGGCGUAAAGAGCUCGUAGGCGGUCUGUCGCGUCGGAUGUGAAAACCCAGGGGCUCAACCCUGGGCCUGCAUUCGAUACGGGCAGACUAGAGUACGGCAGGGGAGACUGGAAUUCCUGGUGUAGCGGUGAAAUGCGCAGAUAUCAGGAGGAACACCGGUGGCGAAGGCGGGACUCUGGGCCGAUACUGACGCUGGAGGAGCGAAAGCGUGGGGAGCAAACAGG